rnacentral:rRNA from 1 species
GUGGAUAGGGGAGAAAUUCCAAUCGAACCCGGAGAUAGCUGGUUCUCCUCGAAAUAGCUUUAGGGCUAGCCUCGUUUUAGUCUUAUGGAGGUAGAGCACUGAAUUUCCGCGGGGGCGUCAAAGCUUACCAAAGAAUAUCAAACUCCGAAUGCCAUGUAGAUGAUGAACGGGAGUCAGACUGCACGAGAUAAGUUGGGCAGUCAAAAGGGAAAGAGCCCAGACCGCCAGCCAAGGUCCCAAAGUGUGUGUUAAGUGGAAAAGGAUGUGGGAUCUCCAAGACAACUAGGAUGUUGGCUCAGAAGCAGCCACACAUUCAAAGAGUGCGUAACAGCUCACUAGUCGAGAGGUCCUGCGCCGAAAAUGUCCGGGGCUGAAACACAACACCGAAGCUGCGGAAUUGCGAAUGCAAUUGGUAGAGGAGCAUUCUUAAUGCCGACGAAGCUGUACCGGAAGGAGCAGUGGAGGGAUAAGAAGAGAGAAUGCCGGAAUGAGUAGCGAGAGAGAGGUGGGAAUCCUCUCGGCCGAAUAUCCAAGGUUUCCAGAGUAAAGCUGAUCUGCUCUGGGUAAGUCGGGGCCUAAGGCGAGGUCAAGAGACGUAGCCGAUGGACAACAGGUUUAGAUUCCUGUACCGCAUAUAAACAGAACUGUGGGGACGCAUGGGGAGAGCAUGGGCCGGGAAUGGAAAUACCGGUGCAAGCGAAGGAGGUGUGCAGCCGGCAAAUCCGCUGCAUGAGCCGAAAGCGUGACGCGGAGCGAAAUGAAAGUAGCGAAGCAUGUGAGCCCUGUGCCGAGAAAAGCCGCUAUAGCUUUAUAUGUGCCCGUACCGUAAACCGACACAGGUGGAUGAGGAGAGAAUCCUAAGGCCGGCGGAAGAAGUAUUGUUAAGGAACUCGGCAAAAUGACCCCGUAACUUCGGGAGAAGGGGUGCCCACGGGAGUGGGCCGCAGAGAAUAGGCUCAAGCAACUGUUUAGCAAAAACACAGGUCUAUGCGAAACCGAAAGGUGAAGUAUAUGGGCUGACGCCUGCCCGGUGCUGGAAGGUUAAGAGGAGAGGUCAGCGCAAGCGAAGCUUUGAAUUUAAGCCCCAGUAAACGGCGGCCGUAACUAUAACGGUCCUAAGGUAGCGAAAUUCCUUGUCGGGUAAGUUCCGACCCGCACGAAAGGCGUAAUGAUUUGAGCACUGUCUCGACAAUACAUCCGGUGAAAUUGAAGUACCAGUGAAGAUGCUGGUUACCCGCGCCAGGACGGAAAGACCCCAUGGAGCUUUACUCCAGUUUGGUACUGGGAUUCGGUACUGCACGUACAGGAUAGGUGGGAGACUUUGAAACUUGAACGCCAGUUUGAGUGGAGUCGCUGUUGGGAUACCACCCCUGCAGUAUUGGGUUUCUAACCAGUCACCGUGAUCCGGUGAUGGGACAAUGCCAGGCGGGGAGUUUGACUGGGGCGGUCGCCUCCGAAAGGGUAUCGGAGGCGCUCAAAGGUUCCCUCAGAAUGGUCGGAAACCAUUUGAAGAGUGCAAAGGCAGAAGGGAGCUUGACUGCGACACCGACGGGUGGAGCAGGUAGGAAACUAGGACUUAGUGAUCCGGUGGCAUAAAGUGGGAUUGCCAUCGCUCAACGGAUAAAAGCUACCCUGGGGAUAACAGGCUUAUCACUCCCAAGAGUUCACAUCGACGGAGUGGUUUGGCACCUCGAUGUCGGCUCAUCGCAUCCUGGGGCUGUAGCAGGUCCCAAGGGUUGGGCUGUUCGCCCAUUAAAGC